CGAAAUGAAAUUUACAACUUUCAGCAACGGAUCUCUUGGCUCUCGCAUCGAUGAAGAACGCAGCGAAUUGCGAUAAGUAAUGUGAAUUGCAGAUUUCCAGUGAAUCAUCGAAUCUUUGAACGCACCUUGCGCUCCUUGGUAUUCCGAGGAGCAUGCCUGUUUGAGUGUCAUCGAAUUCUCUCUCAAUCAUGUCGUGUGCGUCGUGUUGCGCGUGAGCAUGGACAUGACUUGGAGUUUUUGGGGGUUGCUGGCUGGCUCCCCAUGGAGCGGUCGGCUCUCCUUAAAUGCAUUAGCGAACGGGUGUUGGUCUCGAAGACGGUAUGCAUGGCCUUUGACGUGAUAACGAUGGAUCACCGUCAUCGCUGGAGCGUCUUGCUUGGGAUCACGCAUGCCUGGAUCGCUUCUCAAAUCCCCCCCAGGGGAGGAAGAGAGGGGGAGGCUUUUCAGCAACCUGCUGACGGUCUGAAGUGAAGCAGAGUCGAGCUUUUUAGCUAUUAGCUUGCUUUCGGGCGAGCGAACGCGGCGAGACGAGGCUUCCGUCAGACUGUCCGGUCGUGCAAAAAGCACACACACACACUCUCUCUCUCUUGCUGCGACGAGGACAAAGACGGUGGGAUAGACCUUUUUGCAGACUGCUGGUCUAGGAUAGGAUGGGCAGAGUGGUGCCCUAGCUACUAGCUUGCGAGAGCAAGCGAACGCAGGCAAGACUUUUGUCACGAUCAGACUGGCAGUUUGAAGGUCGCUCGAGGUCAGAGUUCUAGGUCUGCAGUGCGUCGUCCUUCUCGAAUCCAAAAAGGUCGACCUCAAAUCAGGCAGGACUACCCGCUGAACUUAAGCAUAUCAAUAAGCGGAGGAAAAGAAACUAACAAGGAUUCCCCUAGUAACUGCGAGUGAAGCGGGAAAAGCUCAAAUUUCGAAUCUGGCGGUCAUAGAAGCCGUCCGAGUUGUAAUCUAGAGAAGCGUCUUCCGCGCUGGCCCGUGUACAAGUCUCCUGGAAGGGAGCGUCAUAGAGGGUGAGAAUCCCGUCUUUGACACGGACUACCGGCGCUAUGUGAUGCGCUCUCGACGAGUCGAGUUGUUUGGGAAUGCAGCUCAAAACGGGUGGUAAAUUCCAUCUAAAGCUAAAUAUGGGCGAGAGACCGAUAGCGAACAAGUACCGUGAGGGAAAGAUGAAAAGAACUUUGGAAAGAGAGUUAAACAGUACGUGAAAUUGCUGAAAGGGAAACGCUUCGCGUCAGCCGCGUCGGUCGGGGAUCAACCCUUGCGAAGCGAUCGCUGGGGGUGCACUUCCUGUCCGACGGGUCAGCAUCAGUUUUGGUCGUCGUACAAGGGCGAGGGGAACGUGGCACUCUUCCGGGAGUGUGUUAUAGCCUUUCGUCGCAUGCGUCGGCAGGGACUGAGGAACUCGGCAUGGCCCUUUGUGUCUGUGUCUAGGAUGCUGGCAUAAUGGCGUCAAGCGACCCGUCUUGAAACACGGACCAAGGAGUCCAACAUGCCUGCGAGUGUUUGGGUGCAAAACCCGAGUGCAAAACGAAAGUGAUCAUCGAGACCUCCGUCAUGGAGGGCACCGACGCCCAGACCUGAGUCCUUGACGACGGUCCUGCGGUAGAGCAUGCAUGUUGGGACCCGAAAGAUGGUGAACUAUGCCUGAAUAGGGCGAAGCC
rnacentral:rRNA from 2 species